rnacentral:rRNA from 1 species
AUUCGCCCUUAGAGUUUGAUCCUGGCUCAGGAUGAACGCUGGCGGCGUGCUUAACACAUGCAAGUCGAACGAUGACUUUUGUGCUUGCACAAAAUGAUUAGUGGCGAACGGGUGAGUAACACGUGAGUAACCUGCCCUUAACUUCGGGAUAAGCCUGGGAAACCGGGUCUAAUACCGGAUACGACGGAUUCCCGCAUGGGGGUCCGUGGAAAGCUUGAUGCGGUUUUGGAUGGACUCGCGGCCUAUCAGCUAGUUGGUUGGGGUAAUGGCCCACCAAGGCGACGACGGGUAGCCGGCCUGAGAGGGUGACCGGCCACACUGGGACUGAGACACGGCCCAGACUCCUACGGGAGGCAGCAGUGGGGAAUAUUGCACAAUGGGCGAAAGCCUGAUGCAGCGACGCCGCGUGAGGGACGAAGGCCUUCGGGUUGUAAACCUCUUUCAGCAGGGAAGAAGCGAAAGUGACGGUACCUGCAGAAGAAGCGCCGGCUAACUACGUGCCAGCAGCCGCGGUAAUACGUAGGGCGCAAGCGUUAUCCGGAAUUAUUGGGCGUAAAGGGUGUGUAGGCGGUUUAGUAAGAUAGCGGUGAAAUGCCGGGGCUCAACCUCGGAACUGCCGUUACAACUAUUGAGCUAGAGUGACAGAGAGGAUAUGGGAAUACCCAGUGUAGAGGUGAAAUUCGUAGAUAUUGGGUAGAACACCGGUGGCGAAGGCGCAUAUCUGGCUGUAAACUGACGCUGAGGCACGAAAGCAUGGGGAUCAAACAGGAUUAGAUACCCUGGUAGUCCAUGCUGUAAACGAUGAAUGCUAGUUGUCGGUUAUUGUGUCGGUGACGAAGUUAACGCGAUAAGCAUUCCGCCUGGGGAGUACGGCCGCAAGGUUAAAACUCAAAGGAAUUGACGGGGACCCGCACAAGCGGUGGAGCAUGUGGUUUAAUUCGAUGCAACGCGAAGAACCUUACCAGGUCUUGACAUCCAAUAAAACUUGUAGAGAUACAUCGUGGACUUCGGUCCGUAUUGAGACAGGUGGUGCAUGGUUGUCGUCAGCUCGUGUCGUGAGAUGUUGGGUUAAGUCCCGCAACGAGCGCAACCCUUGUGAUCAGUUACUAACAGGUAAUGCUGAGGACUCUGAUAAGACUGCCGGGGACAACUCGGAGGAAGGUGGGGACGACGUCAAAUCAUCAUGCCCCUUAUGACCUGGGCUACACACGUGCUACAAUGGCCACUACAGAGAGAAGCGAGCCUGAGAGGGGGAGCGGAUCUCAAAAAAGUGGUCCCAGUUCGGAUUGUGGGCUGCAACCCGCCCACAUGAAGUCGGAGUUGCUAGUAAUCGCGGAUCAGCAUGCCGCGGUGAAUACGUUCCCGGGCCUUGCACUCACCGCCCGUCA